rnacentral:rRNA from 1 species
UACGUAGGGGGCAAGCGUUGUCCGGAAUCAUUGGGCGUAAAGAGCGUGUAGGCGGUUCAGUAAGUCUGCUGUGAAAGUCCAAGGCUCAACCUUGGGAUGCCGGUGGAUACUGCUGAGCUAGAGUACGGAAGAGGCGAGUGGAAUUCCCGGUGUAGCGGUGAAAUGCGUAGAUAUCUGGAGGAAUACCGGUGGCGAAGGCGGCAUCCUGGACCGGCAUUGACGCUGAGGAGCGAAAGCUAGGGGAGCAAACGGG